UUUCUCUCUGGAAUUGAAGUCACAAGAUGGAAAAUUAUUCAUAAUUGCAAUCAUAACAUACCAUACAAUAGAGAGUUUCCUGCCAAGGAAACUUUGAUUUCAAAGACCUUACGCAAGUCGCAUGUAGUCGUGACUAUUUUUUUUUUGCAAGAAGCUCCUGCCAGCCUUCAAACUCAACACAACCCAGGUCAGCUCAGGGAUGGAAGGGACUUGAUUGGCAUAAAAUAAUUCCUCAGACAAAGGACUGAGUGUAUAGCUUCAAUGGGACACUGUGCAUCUAGGUCUUUAUAAGGAAGGUUGCCCUGGGCUCGUCCAACACAGGUGAUAUCCACAUCAUGGGUACUACCAAGAUUUUCCUGCUCCUUCUCUCAGUGGCCCUGUUGGCCCUGAGCUCAGCUCAAGGAACACCCAAGGAAGCCCCAAGCCAGCAACCUGCUGAACCUGAACAAGCCUCAAGCCAACAAUCUGAGAAACCUGAAUCAGCCCCAAGGCAACAAACUAGGAAAAGUAAAGGUAAGUAAAAUGUCUAUCUGUAAAGAGUCCUUCUUUCCCUUUUCCUUGAGGACCCUACAACUUAUUUCUCAUUUUAAACAGUUUGGCAUUUCCACUCUUAAAGUUCAAUACCAGGAAAGAGAUGGUAAUAAUGAAAUAACAGGGUGGUCAGGUUAAAAGGCCUUGUUCUCUCUUGCCAUUGCAUAGGUCUUAUUUUCCCAACUGAGAAUUUCCCAGAUCAAAAAUCCAAAGCCAUUUUAUCAUCUUUUGCCAUAGCACAUGUUUGCUUAUUUCUAUUAGCUAAUAUCCUACGUCAAAGAUUUCAAGAUCACUUUGUAAUAUUUGGUGCAAUGUUCUUUUAAUGUCUCUGCACUGUUUGUAUUUCUCUCUCUCUUUCUCUCAGUUUUUUCAGUCCCUCUGUGUCUGGUCCUUCUCUGAAUCUAUAUCUUUAUCUCUCUGUCUUCGUCUCACUUUUUCUUGGUUUCCUCCCUCCCUCCCUCUCUCUCUCU
rnacentral:lncRNA from 1 species